rnacentral:tRNA from 1 species
CGGGGUGUGGCGCAGCCUGGUAGCGCACUUGCAUGGGGUGCAAGGGGUCGGAGGUUCGAAUCCUCUCACCCCGACCA